GGGAUACUCUAGGGUAGGGUUUUGAUCUCUUCUCUCACAUUGCCUCACCUCAUGAAAGACAUACACUAAUUUGUACAAGUCUGAUCAGACUCUAAAUUUCAGGCUAGCUCAGGUUGUCUCUGGAAUAAGGAUGCUCACUAGUGCUUGGAAAGAAAGGUAGAGAGACAAGCACUCCUAACUUCCAAGAUGUGAUAAUAGAACUCCGUACCAUAAUGUGAACAAUAAAUAUGUAUUUCAUGCAAACAGAUUGGCCUUGAGGAUAAAUGGACACAAAAUAAUAUGCUCAAUGAGGUGACAGUGAAGUAUUUUCAGGGGAGAUGUUUCAGUGGCUUCUACAUAAAGGAAUAUAUUGAAUCUGGAAUAUUUGUAUGUCAGGUAACAACAUAUGGGUUGUGUGUACUUUUCUAAUUACCAAAUCACACUAGACUUAACAAUUAUUCUCCACCUUUCUCUGCCUGAUAUUCUGCAGACGACCCAUCUACAACCCUGGAACUAAACAGUGAAGGAAGGCGAGUGCUUUCCUUUCUGCCAGGAGACUUUGAUCAGGAUGCAGAGAUUUCCCUGUGCACACAGAAAGGUCUGCUUUUACACACGCAUGGCUUUUGUGAAGGAGUGCAGUCAGUACACUGGAUAAUUCAGGAAACGGAAGAUGGUUUGAAGUCAUCCCAGCAUAGACUAAGUGGAGUAAGACAAUUAAGAUGUAAGGAACUAAUGUGCUAAUAUAGAAAACAGCAACAUGAAGUCUUAAGAUAUUUUAAAUUCCACAGCCAUAAACUUAGAUUGUGUAAGGUGGACAUAAAGGUGGACAGAAAUUAAAACUGUUUAAAGUGUGAUAUUUCCAUGGAGAUAUUCAAAACUCAGCAAGACAAAGCAUUCCCAUCUACCUUGAGGUAAGCUGUGUUUAUGCAAGCACUUGGAAUACAUGUAGAUGCUCUUCUGUUUCUCCUGACCUAAAUUACUCUGUGACUUUAUGAGGCUUACAGUGUUCUCUCUUAUGUCCUGUCCUCUAUCCUCUCUGUUUCUUAAUCUCCAGUAAAAAAUAAAAGACUGCACAUUUUGUAUAACA
rnacentral:lncRNA from 1 species